rnacentral:rRNA from 1 species
UGAGGGUAAUACUGUAUAGGGAAAUCCAACUGGAAGGUGGAUUUCCUAAAACGCAAGGCCUAAGGAUGAGUCGGCGGCGGAUUAGGUUGUUGGCGAGGUAAUGGCUCACCAAGCCGAAGAUCCGUAGGGGCCUUGAGAGAGGUAGCCCCGAGAAGGGCACUGAGAUACUGGCCCUAGCUCCACGGAGUGCAGCAGGCGCGAAACCUUUACAAUGCGCGAAAGCGUGAUAAGGGAACCCUAAGUGAUGUUGCAAUGCAACAUCUUUUGCUAAGAGUAAAUAUCUUAGAGAAUAAGUGGUGGGCAAUACCUGUGCCAGCCGCCGCGGUAACCCAGGAGCCACAAGUGGCAACCACCUUUAUUGGGCCUAAAGCGUCCGUAGCCGGUUUUGUAAAUUUUCUGUGAAAUCGUUGCGCUUAACGUAACGGCGUGCAGAAAACACUGCAGGACUAGGGACCGGGAGGAGUUAGAGGUAUUUCGGGGGGAGCGGUAAAAUGCUAUAAUCCCCGAAGGACCACCUGUGGCGAAGGCGUCUAACUAGAACGGCUCCGACGGUGAGGGACGAAAGCUAGGGGAGCAAUCCGGAUUAGAUACCCGAGUAGUCCUAGCUGUAAACUCUGCGAGCUA